rnacentral:lncRNA from 1 species
CGAUACGCGCUACACCCGCUGCAUAUCGGAUCUUCUUCGCAGGAUAACCUACCGAGCCACUUAGCGCGGUUCGGGCCAUACCACUCGAUGCCAGAGCUCUUGGGGGCAGCCGGCUGUAAAGAUGUUGCGAACGGGACAAACGUCUCUGGUUAGCCAAAGGACACUGCAAAUACGUAUGUGCGUCUAUGUAAAGUACGCUGAUAAAAUAAAUGGUGUCGAAAUAAAACGGACCUUAGCAGCGGCCUUCUUGCCGGUCGCCUUGCAUGCGACCUGCAGAGCCUUGCGCGAGGUGGCGAGAGCGAAAGCCAUNUUAGAUGUUCGUAAGGUGAUCAGACUCUGCUGCACAAAGGAGAGAACUGAUACCGGAAACACAGGCAACCAGCGCUUUUGUUUUGCAAGCAAAUCUUGAUGCCGUACGCACGCCGUAUCCCUGUCCUGUCCGUGGGACAGGGCGCUUACCUAACAGAGAUCGCAGGAUACAGACAUGGCACACCUGCAACACAUGCGCUUAACAGCUAUCUGCACUUGCACAGAUUGGCAUGAACGAUUUGCUACACCUGCUUGCAAGUUUCAUACAAGUUUCUGAUGCAGGGAUAACUCAGUGGCGACUGUAUAAAUGCUGUGACGUGCACGCUGAACAUGGAUUUUGAUACGCACUGCAAUGCAUUCUUUAGGCGCCAAAAGUGGUCUCUCCAUGUUUGACCCUAGCUGUUCGGCCUUUACUCAUUACCAGUACCGUAGGACGGGAGGACAGUAGCUGUUGUCCUUGCUAGGAAGCAAGCUGAUAUAAUGGGUCACGCUGCUUAGGACGGCAAAGGGCAUUCCAUCCCGGACAGGGCCGGUGAACACAAGGUCCAAGCUCUGCUGGACCGCAAAAGGGCGACAGCGCCGAACCGGAGGCCGUUUAGGACCGAAGGAAAGCAACAAGCACGUGCGUAGCAACCUGUCGUCCGAUCAAGGGAGGACGGUCGGCCUCGACCAAACGCAUGAGCUCUUCGCAACUUACAAUCGGCCACGGGCUUCCAAACGUCGGAGCCUAAGGCUGGCACCUGGGAAAAGCUCCUACUUUGCCCAUGGCUUGCCUUUGACCUCUGAAGUACUGAACGGAACGCCAGCACGCCCUCUNNNNNNNNNNNNNNNNNNNNNNNNNNNNNNNNNNNNNNNNNNNNNNNNNNGCAGCUCGGGGGUCAGGCAGCCCAGAGCGCCAAGCAUGGCCCAGCGCGCAUGGAUCAGCUCCAGCUCGCGGUAGCGCUUGAACGUCUCCGGGUCAGCGGACAGGCCGGCAGUGUCCCAGCCGUAGUCACCGGGGAACUCGCCAGUCAGGUAGGCAGGGGUGGCAUUCUCGCUGUAGGGGCCUGUCCGAUGUGGGCACAGAAGGGGAAAGCGGACAUACGGCGGCAGCGGGCUACUGAACGGCAGGUCGCGAAAGGGGGAAAGACGCAACCUGUGCCCUUCAUCGCAGCAUGCAUCGCGCGAUGUCAGCAAAGGACCGAGAGAGCAGCCUGCGCACAGAAACCUGACGCUGCGGCAUGUUGCGCCGAAAGGAGGACCAUGCACGAGACCGACCGAUUACUCCGGCCCUCCGAUACGCGCUACACCCGCUGCAUAUCGGAUCUUCUUCGCAGGAUAACCUACCGAGCCACUUAGCGCGGUUCGGGCCAUACCACUCGAUGCCAGAGCUCUUGGGGGCAGCCGGCUGUAAAGAUGUUGCGAACGGAACAAACGUCUCUGGUUAGCCAAAGGACACUGCAAAUACGUAUGUGCGUCUAUGUAAAGUACGCUGAUAAAAUAAAUGGUGUCGAAAUAAAACGGACCUUAGCAGCGGCCUUCUUGCCGGUCGCCUUGCAUGCGACCUGCAGAGCCUUGCGCGAGGUGGCGAGAGCGAAAGCCAUUUUAGAUGUUCGUAAGGUGAUCAGACUCUGCUGCACAAAGGAGAGAACUGAUACCGG